UGAAAUCAACACGGGAAACCUCACCCGGCCCGGACACGGACAGGAUUGACAGAUUGAUAGCUUUUUCUCGAUUCCGUGGAUGGUGGAGAUGGGA